GACGAACGCUGGCGGCGUGCUUAACACAUGCAAGUCGAACGGAAAGGCCCUGCUUUUGUGGGGUGCUCGAGUGGCGAACGGGUGAGUAACACGUGAGUAACCUGCCCGUGACUUUGGGAUAACUUCAGGAAACUGGGGCUAAUACCGGAUAGGAGCUCCUGCUGCAUGGUGGGGGUUGGAAAGUUUCGGCGGUUGGGGAUGGACUCGCGGCUUAUCAGCUUGUUGGUGGGGUAGUGGCUUACCAAGGCUUUGACGGGUAGCCGGCCUGAGAGGGUGACCGGCCACAUUGGGACUGAGAUACGGCCCAGACGCCUACGGGAGGCAGCAGUGGGGAAUAUUGCACGAUGGGCGGAAGCCUGCUGCAGCCACGCCGCGUGCGGGAUGACGGCCUUCGGGUUGUAAACCGCUUUCGCCUGUGACGAAGCGUGAGUGACGGUAAUGGGUAAAGAAGCACCGGCUAACUACGU
rnacentral:rRNA from 1 species